GGAGCCGGCGGCAGACGCUGCGCGCGGGCCACGCGCGGCGGCGGAGGCUGCGCGCGGGCCACGCGCGGCGGCGACUUGGGCUGGGCGGUCGCCCUGCCCCACCGCCCUUCGGCGCUCGCAGGUCCGCUCCCCUCCCAAACCGCAGAGCGGCAGGCGCGGCCGCUGGUUCGAGAGCUCGGCCGGGGCAGCGCAGCCGCCGGCUGCCCCUCGCUCCCAGGCGCCACAACCCCGCGCCCUCGCCGCUGCUGCGUCCCGCGAGACCUGUGGGGAGGCCGGGAGUCACUUCGGGUUCCCUUUCAGCCCACGUGGUCCUGGGACACUCCACCCAGGAACCUAGUCGGCACCGCGCAGGGAAUCCCAGCAGCGGGGUUCUGGCCCCAGCACGCGUUGCGGCAGCCUGGCGAGCGUCCUUGCGGCCUCCAAGUGCCGGUGGGGUGCGUGCGCAGGGGGCAGAAAAAUCAUGUCUUCUUCCAGAGUGGGGCUCCGUUUGGCUGCCUGUUUACUAAACGUUUCAGAAGCCGGAAGAAAAUACAUUGUUGAGAACAUAGCAAAAGCAGCUCUUCUUGACAAAAAUGGAAAGAAACAUCCUCAAGUUUCAGUGCUCAAUAUAUUUUCCGAUCAAGACUACAAGAGAUCAGUCAUUACAAUAGCAACUUCUGUUGAUAAGUUGGCACAGAAAGACCCCACUCAGAAGGUACCACACCUGGCUGCAUGGCUUUAGACCAGUAACUCACAUGAUGAACAAUGUAAUGUGUCUAGAGAAGUGCUGGGCUUGCUGAGGGAGGAGGAGAAUUGUGUCCUGAAGGUGCUGCUGGACCCACCUAACAUGGGUUGUGGAAAGAGGGGGAACAGUGGAGAAUGAGUGGAUAUUACCCAGUGCUGCCAUUAUUAGCAGCAGCUAGGCACAUGAGCGUGGAUAUCUGGAGCAGAAAAAGGAAGACUGGAGUCACUGACUCAGAUCUAAGCCACUGAUUUCCCAAGCUGCAGGAAUGUUGGAGACUGAAACUGUGCAGCUGAGUCCCCACAGGAAAUUGCUCCUGGCCUUAACGGAGUUGCUUCCCUCAAGUUUUCAUCAGUUCCCAGGGAAAUGACUGGUCAGUGUAAGGAAACAAAGGCCAGCCUCCUUGCCUCAAUUUGGGCCAACUCUGAUGGGCCGUUAUAUCUGAAGACAUCUCAAGAAGUCUGUGGGGGAUUGGCUGAGUCUGCUACAACAACAUUGUUUUCAACUUUUCCUUCUGCUUAAUAUUACUGGCUUCACUCCCUCACACGUAUCACUCCUGAGCAUUCUCUAAUAAACGUUCUCCAAAACAGGGGUUGCAGGCUUAGAAUCUAAUCACCAAAGCAUUUGGUGUCAGGAGUGGUUGGAGAACGCAGACAAUGAAUGUGAUUUUGGAGCUGCAUUACUUGCUGGCCAGCUGGCAAUAUGGAAACUAUUGCUGGUGUCAGGUGAAACAUGGAAGAUCCCUGGCAUUCUAUAGCACUGAAACUAUUAUUACUUGAUCAGUGGUGAACAGGGAUGGGAUAGCAGUAGAAGGAAUGCACUUAAAUAUCUCAGGGUUUGUUAGAUUCUGAGAGGACUGGUACUUAUGAGGAUGAUGGAAUUGAAUGGCUGUUGUGGACUGCAAUCUCAUGCCCUGGAGAAAGACAGUGAAUGACUUUGAGUCAGUAAUCAGUAAUUUGAGAGAUACUGUGAAUGUCAGAGGAGCUCUUUAGGAACAUAUAAAGAGAUUCUUAUCUCUGUGAUCAAGGACAGAAAAACCUGAGGGUCAGUUCUAGGCCAUAAUUUUCAGGAUGGCAAAGCUCCAUAGAAGGUUGAAGUCUCAGAUGCAGAAAGUCUAUCAUGUCAAGGCCAUGCCCUGGUUGAGAGUCUUAGAAAGGGGAUACCUGGGUGGGUGCACUAAAAAAAACCCUUAAAACCCGUUUUGCCUGGAACUCUCUGAGCUGGUAAAUGUUCAAGGCUAGCAUGCCCACCCCCUAAAGCCCCCACCAUUAAAAACUGCAGAGGCCUGUGCUUUGUAAGACAACAUGUACCCCUCAGGAAUUACCUCCACCACCCGUCCUGGCCUAGUAUGAGACAAAUAGAGUCAAUUCCAACAUAAUCUGUCCAGGAAAGAUGGAGCCUGCUAAGGGAGGAAAGGGACAAUAUAAUAAAUCAGCUGUGACACCUGGCCACAUAAUCCAUAUGGGACUGGAUCCUGAAGAUGCUGAAUUUGUAGGGCAGAGCAUGAGGUUGGGUAAGGGAGAGCAUAUUGAUAGUGGACCACUGUCCUAGUCUACAGUAUUUAAUGCCCUGACAAAAAUGCUGGUUGCAUUUGCACCUUCUAACACACGGCUAGGAUGGCUCUUGGAAGACUGGAGAAGGUUAUGACCCACACUAAAUAGAAAAGCCAGAACUUUUGUGUAGAAGAUGGUAGAAAAGGACCAAAAGGCCCCAAGGAUGAGUACAUUCAAGAAUGGAUGUAUUACAAAACAUUGCAAAUACUCCCAGCUGACUACAUUCCAGGGACAGGACAGAGGACACUCUAUUGACUAAAGUGAUAUGUAAUGCAUCACUCAGACAGGGACCAGCAUCACUGAGAAGUUCAGUGGAGGCUUUCUCUGUAAGCCAGGGACCUGCUGCUAGAGAACUGGGCUCCCUCACUACAACAGGGAUGAUGGGAUCCUGAAAUCAUAAAGGCCAGGUGGUGGUGCUUAAUAUCAGAAGCGAGAUGCAAUGCAAUUAUCAUAAUGAAAAGCAAUGUCAUAAUAGUAGUUGGGGGGAUGUGACCCACACAGAGCCAUGGAGAUGGUUUAUUGGACAUAGCAAGAUAGAUGGACAGUCAUCAAGGGAAUCACUCAAUCUAUACAAUUAAAAGAAAUCAAGGAGGCUAAGUGCAGGUGUCCCUCUAAAGAGUCACAGUCCCUUAUCAGUGUCUGGACAUGAGCCACUUCUCAGACUGGAUGCCACUGACUGAGGGAGAGGCCAGAUCUCCAGGAGGAAGGACCUGCAAAAUCAUGGCAAAUAUAUAUGACAAUGACUCCUACAGAUUUUCCCCAAAGGGACCUAUGGCCAUUUAUUCAGGUAACCUUACAAUGGGGAAAGAGUAGUACUCAGACACUUGUGAGUACUUCUGGAUACAGGGUCAAGGUAGCACUGAUACCUAGGGAGGUAAAGGGUUAUUGUGGCCCUCCUAAGAAUGGGGGUAGAUGGGGACUGGUAAUAAAAUGGAGUCCAAGCCUAGGCCCAACUCUUAGUGUAUGUUUGUGUAUAUGCAUAUACGUAUAGUUGGGAUAUAUAUGCUGAUAGCUAGUGAAACCCUCCACAUUGAUCCUUUGGCUUGAGAGUGAAGAGUUACCAUAGUGGGGAAGAAUUUGAAACUGUCCCCACCCCUAUUACAACAAGAUAAUAAAUAAAAGGCAAUGUUUUGUUUAGGGGAAAUGGCAGCAAUUAAUACCAGCCUUACAGGGGUAGUGAGCCUCAUCAUAUCCCCAUUAAAUUAAUCAGUUUCUGGCCAAACAAAAAAGACAAGAAAACCACAAACAAACAAAACAGGUUAACAGUUGACUUCUGCCAACUCAACCAGGUAGUAGCUCCACUUGCAAUUACUGCGCCAGAGUAGUAUCUUACCCAGCCAAUGAACACAGCUAAUUAUUAAUACAGGGCGUGUGGCUACAGAUCUGGCAAAUGUGCUCUUUCCCAUCUUUCUCAGAAAGGAGAAGCGGAAGUGGUUUACGUUCACAUGGAACAGACGACAGAAUACAUUUAAGGUCUUAUCUUGAGGCUAUGUUAACUCUUCCUUUUCUGUGAUAAUAUAAUCUGAAGGGACCCAAAUCAUCUGAAUGUCCUGAACAUCAUCACAUUGAUCCACUAUAUUGAUGGCAUUGUGUUCAUUAGACUGGAUGACCAAGAAGGGGCAGAUGUAUUGGAGGCCUUGGUAAGACACGUGCUUCAGAGGGUGGGAGAUAAACCCCACGAUGAUUCAGAGUGUGGGGUCAUGGGGAGGAUUAGGGCUCCUGUGUAGAUAUAGAGCAUACUGACAUUUACUUAACCCCUACUAUAUGUCAUACCUUGGAAAUGUGUCCCCUGCUCUUUGGGACCCUGACAGAGAAAACUAGAGUUAAGUGCCCAGAAAGAGGAAGCCCAACGUGUCACAAGAUGAUUUCAAUUACAGCAGUUGUCUCCCUUAUCUGCAGUUUCGCUUUCCGAAGUUUUGGUUACUGUUAGUCAACGGUGGUGCAAAAACAUUAGGUGGAAAGUUCCAGAGAUAAACAAUUUAUAAGCUUUAAGUUGUAUGCUACUCUAAGUAGUGUGAUAAAAUCUCCUGCCAUCCUGCUUUGUCCUGCUCCAGAUGUGAAUCAUCCCUUUGUCUAGCAUAUCCACACUGUCUAUGCCACAUGCUCAUUAGUCACUUAGAAGACACCUUGGUUAUCAGAUUGACUCUCACAGUAUCGCAGUGUUUGUGUUUAAGAAACCCUUAUUCUGCUUAAUAAUGGCCCCAAAGUGUAAGAGCAGUGAUGCUGGCAUAUUGUUAUAAUUGUCCAGUUUUAUUAUUAGCUACUGCUGUUGAUCUCUCACUGUAUCUAAUUUAUAAAUUAAACUUUAUCAUGGGUAUGUAUAUAUAGGAUAAAACAUAGUGUAUACAGAGCUUGGUACUAUUAGAAGAUUCAGGCAUCCACUGGAGUCUUGGAACAUAUCUCCCAUGGAUAAGGGGGGAAGUAGUAUAUUCUAAUUCUACUGCUUUAAUUGUAGGUAGUAUUCUCUUAAAAUCUAAAUGAUAUACAACGCCAGUUCUCUACAAGAAAAUCAUAACAUUGCUUGCUGUCAUUGGGUGGUAUGGAAAUGAUCUUUUGCCUAGAGUUUAUAAAGAAUCUUUUACUUAAUGAGCUAAAUGACCAUGAAUAAUACAUUUAAAUUAUGACAUACUUUUCCUAUUUACCAUUUGCUUUUGUUCUUUUAUACCAUAAGAAAUUAAUGAGGCUGAGAGUCUUAAACUGUGUUUUAUGUAUUUAAAAUAAUUAUGAUUAAGGGUCUUUUACACAUGUGUAUUUAUCAUGAAUUCUUGUUCAAAGAACUAUUUUUUAUGGUUCAAGAAGCAAAAUUAAUUUAAAUCAGCAGCUAAUGCACAGUUCUCAAUUCCAUGAGUCAACUGGAUACUGCUGACAUUUUUAUAUGGAGCCUCCUUUAAUGUAAUAAAAAGUAUGGCACUAAAUGGUGUCUGAUAUGGGAAGGGGUAGAAUACUCAUUGUCUGAAACCCACAUGGCGAUGUUCUGGGUCAUGUCGUGAGCCAUAGGUAGCACUCCGUUGGCUUCAUGUUCUCUAUUGUCUUAUAGUUGACUCGUAGUGACAAUGGAAUGGUGUCAUCAGUUGCUAAUUUUUACAUUCAUAUGUUGCAAAACUAAGGUGGCUAAUCCAUGAAUGCGCAUGCCUGUCAUUCUCUAUCAGAAUAGCAAAUAAAAUUCAUUAUUGCAUGCUCAGAAUCCCUAACAUAAGCCAGUAAAAGCAUUACAAGGAACUUGCCUUCAGUGCUGUAUACAUGUACUGUGAGCUUGCAUUUGGUCUGAGUAUUCAGGACUCCAGGGCUCAGCCUCUAACAGGGCUGGAUUCCUUAGCAGAGUAAGAGCUUACGGCUCUGUGCAGCUCUCUCUGUGCAUCUGCUGGCAGCCAGGUGCUCCUUGUAGGACAGAGUAUGUAAUUAUGAAUAUUUUAAAUGUGGGUAGUUGAUCCCUUUUCUAUUCAGCAUGUAGCUGUGAGUGAAGCGGCAGACAAUGGCCAGAAUACUCUUUGUGUUUGCCUGAAUUUAUCUGAGAAUACUGAAGUAAAGAGCCAAAGGGCUCUAUUCUCCCCUUCCCAGAUACACAGGGAAGAACAGAAUCCAGUCUUUGUCUGGGUGGUUAAUUUUUAAAAUGAUAUGUGAAGGAUAAUGCAUGAAUAACUAACAGCCCUGGGGGGCUCAGGAAAAUUGUAUUUCACCAGGAGGAACAAAUAUAUGCUGUUUUUGAAAUGGAAGGGCUAUACUAAGGAUUCAGAUAUGAAGAAGUAGAUUUUUGAUAAGAAGAUAUUGAGAUACAUAAAACUGGUAUCAGAGGCAGCAAGGAAUGUAAUAAAAAUAUUCUGGCUUUGAGCCCCAGAUGUGCCACUCACUGACUAUGCGAUGUUGGACUUUAGGUCAUCUCUCCAAGCCUUAGUUUUCUCAUCACCAUAAUAGGGAGAUUAGGCCAGAUUAUCUCCCUAGUUUCUUCUUAGUCGACUUACCUGUGAUCCUGUGACAUGCUCUCUUAAGAUAAAUGUGCACUCACACCUCUUUUCAAGGUGUGAUCGCUAAGGAGUGACUGCUACAGCUCAAGAAAGACUUUUGUUGAGUGCCUAAUGUUGAGCCAACACAGGAUCAAGCAGUAAGGGUAUAAGCAAAAAAAGUUAUCAACUGUACUGGUGGUGCUGAGAUGAAGAAGAGGCCUGAAACAGAGGACAAAUUGGGAGCUGUAGAGUAUGAGCUUAGAGAACAUCAGAUGGGAGACGUCAGUGUAGUUGCACAAGCAUGAGGAUGAGAUUUGAACGAAAAUGUGAGCUGAGCUUUAGAGGAUAGAUAGGAUUUGGGUAGGUUAAAAAAAAAAAGAAUAGAUCAUUCCUGGUUGGAGGCUGAAUCAGUCAGGUUCCUUGUAGGAAACAGAUGAUUCAAUCAAACUGGGUACUGAGAAGAGUUUAGUAAAGAGAUCAUUUACACAGGUGUUGCCAGGGCUGAGGAAAACCAACACAGGUGGUGCUGUACCCUGGGCUAGUGACAGUGGUGAGCCAUGACCACCCUGAAAUAGCAAGGGGUAGGCGUGGGGACCACAACCAGACCUGACUGUCUGAAGGGAGGAGAAGCCUUCAGUAGAAGGAUUGUUGGAGACCAACAGAUUGCACACUGGCAAGCAGGAAUCGGGGAAAAAAAUGCCCAAAUAUCUUUCUUCCCUCUCCUUGUAUUAGUCUGUUCUCACACUGCUACUAAAGACAUACUUGAGACUGAGUAAUUUAUCAAGGAAAGAGAUUUAAUUGACUCACAAUUCCACAUGGCUGGGGGGGCCUCAAAAUCAUGGUGGAAGGCAGAUGAGGAGCAAAGUCAUGUCUUACAUGGUGGCAGGCAAGAGGACUUGUGCAGGGGAACUCCCAUUUUAUCAAACUAUCAGAGCUCAUGAGACUUAUUGACUAGUAGAACAGUAAGGGGGAAACUGCCUCCGUGAUUCAAUUAUCUCCGCCUGGCCCACCCCUGACAUGUGGGGAUAAUUACAAUUCAAGGUGAGAUUUGGGUGGGAACACAGCCAAACCACAUCACUCCUUCAAUUUUUUUCUGGUAGAUAGUGAAGGUCAGCACCUGUGGGAAAGGAUGAAAAAUGGGUCUGAAGAAGCAAAUGGAAGAACUCAGCAGAGCAGGAGAUGUGAAUGCUCACAGAGAUACAGCUAGAGACCAGCAUGAAUGGUGGAAGUCUCUUGGUAGAGUCUUGCAAGUUGGGAAGAGAAAUCACACAUGUUCCGCCCCUGAGCAGUGUCCCCUUGAUUGCAGCACCGUAUUAGAUUGCUGCAGGAGUGUGGGUGUGUGUGAAAGAGCUUGCAGAACACCCCCUAACAUUCCUGGCCAUGGUGAGGGUGCCCACGAUGCCCACCCAUCCAAACGUUUCCUUUGUGGAGAGACAAACUUAAAUAGCUCCUCUCUUCUCAUUCUUACCUCCAAUCUCAGCAGCCAAGUACGUGUUAAAGAGGGAGGGAAUACUGGAGCCUCAGCAAAUAAUGAUACAAGUAGAACUCUUGCUUUUCACAUGAGAACUCACCCUGGUAGGCCUCCAAUGCUCCAUUUCACACCUUGCUGUCAUCCAUCUAGAACUUGCCUUCUCUUGGCUUGUCCUGGCACACCAGGUACCUGCCAUUACUCUUUAAUUGGUCUGCUUUUCCUUCCUUAUUCUUCCUUCUGAUUUCCUAAUUAAAAAAAAAAACUAAUCUCAACUAUGGGAAAAGGGGAAAUGUCAAAUACAAAGUUUACCUUCUUCAUGAUUUUGCUCUGGGCCAUUAAAACUAAGUGGGGUUGUAGAUCCUUUCUUCAGAAAGGCAUUGAGAUGACUGUAAAAUGGCUCAUUUGUCUGGAAAGUAGUAAAUGUAGUAGUAUAUAAAAACAUAAAAUGAUGUAGAAGACUUCUUUACUCCUUGUUGCCCCUUUAAUCUAGUAAUAACUCACGGGGGAAUAUGUGGUGUUCUUAUAAGAAGCUCAUCUUAAGCAUAAGAACCUCAUAUUAAGAAUUUUUUGGCAUGCAAAUAUAAGAACCCAAUGCAAUCUUUUACACAGGAUUGAUUUUGGUUUUUGUUAAGAAUUUGCAACUUCCAGAAUAUAUUUUGGAAUCAGUAUAAUUAAUUCCCAUGUCUUACAUCUCUUUUCAUAUUUCUAAAAGUCUAUACUUUCUCGAGAAUAUGUAUAAUGAGGCACAAUACUCUUCACUGUCUGUAUUGUACUCUACUUAUCAAGCCUAGAAAUGGGCUAAAUGUUAAAUAUGUAUGUUUCAGGUUAUACAGAACUCAAUAAUGUCAGUUAAUUGAGAAAUUUCUUACUUUGUCCUUUUAAUUCAUUGAAAUAAAACUCAUGCUUUGCUUAUCUGGAGGUUUUAAAAGUUAGAUUGUGCAAAACUCAUUGUCUUAGUCUAUUCCUGUUGCUAUUGCAAAAUACUUGAGACUGGGUGAUAUAUAAUAACAGAAACCUACUUCUCACAGUUUUUGAGGCUGGGAAGUCCAAGAUUAAGGUUCUGACAGAUUUGGUGUCUGGUGAGGACUUGCUCUCUGCUUCCAAGACCAUGUCUGUUGCUGCUUCUUCUGGAGGUGACAGAUGCUAUGUUCUCACGUGGUAGAAGAGAGAAGAGGUGCAAGGACCAAGCAGCUCUCUGAAGCCUGUUUUAUAAGGAUAUUUAUCCCAUUCACGAAUGCAGAUCCCCCAUGGCCUAAUCACCUCCUGAAGUCCCUACCUCUUAAUACCAUCACCUUGGGGUUUACAUUCCAACAUAUGAACCUUGGAGGGGACGCAUAUAUUUAAACCAUGGCAUUAAUUAAUGCAGUUCUUUUAUUGUCCUAAAAGAUUGAGUUAAUACCAAUAGAUGAAAGUUAAUUCAAACGAAGCUGUCUCAAAUAAAGUAAGAUGAUAACUGGAGGGAUUCAAGUAGAAGCUGACUGUUCUUGGCUGUUGUGAAAUGAGAGGAUUCAGCUAUUUAUGAAAAGAUCUGGCUUCAAGGGCUUCUAAGCCCUGAGUUCUCAGACUACCUGAAAACUGAAACUGAUAAGCUCACUCACAAAUACUCAGAGAAACAUGGUACCUGGUAUGGAAAAGAAUCUGUUUUUUCAAGAAUCUUUUUGUUUUCUAAAAGAUUAUUUGGCACUUUACUUAGAAAUUUUUAUAGAAAAUCAUUUUGAUUUUAUAAACUUCUUACUUCUCACCCUGGCAUUGUCAUCUUGAUCAAAUAUAACUUUUUUAUAUUGGGGUCUUUUUAUUAUUAAAUCCUAUUUGUAUCAGAA